CUGCCUUCCGGACAUUGGGCCUUUGCCACGUGGAAUGAGAAACCAAUAUCCUCAGGAUACUCAUUUGAUAGAAACGAUAGAAAUGACUAAACAAAAAGUUCCAACUAAGGCCAGAGUGGGAGAUUUCGCUCAUCCUCCCUCCCGAUCCUGCACACUACCUUCCUAUUAGAGGACCAACUCCAUAGCAGAAAAGUCUACUUCUCCUCUUCCCUCUCUCCUCCUGGAAGCAACCAUGUACCUGUGGAUGCUAGGGCGCUUCACAGAUGAAGACAACAUUCCUGCUAGCAAGAUGCUCAACCUAAAGAAAGCAGAGUCCUAAUAAGCAGUGGCUCAUCAGUAUGCUCUCGGGUGUGGCACUGUCACGUGGCCACCUACUCCUUGUUCUGUCACCAUGUUCCAUCAAACUUUCAGAGAAUCUGAGGUCUCUAUCUUGACUUUUAUCUUUUCUCGCCCUCCAUGUUCUGUCCUGAAACGUGAUCCCACCUGUUAUAUCACUGCCUACUUGUACCCCAAGGCUCCCUUUCUUUCCCAGUCCAUCUGUGGCACACUGAGCAGAAACCAUCUGGAACUGAGACUGAGGGGGACAGCAUCAGUGUGGCCACAAGGACAAGGGUGUGGUCAUGAGGGAAUGCCCUGUCAAGUGGUUUCACGUAGAUUUCCCGUAGUGUGUCUGGUUUCCACAUGUCCUCACAGGCACGGGGAUCAGAAGCACGAUGAACAGCGGGUGACUGAUGCUUAGAUUCCGUGGCUCGUCAACAUAUUUGGCAAGAAAGUUUCCUUCCCUC